rnacentral:rRNA from 1 species
GUCGAGAAUCUUUCACAAUGGGGGCAACCCUGAUGGAGCGACGCCGCGUGGAGGAUAAGGUCUUCGGAUUGUAAACUCCUGUCAUGCGUGAACAAGGUUGCUUGGUUAAUACCUGGGCAAAUUGAUGGUAACGCAAGAGGAAGAGACGGCUAACUCUGUGCCAGCAGCCGCGGUAAUACAGAGGUCUCAAGCGUUGUUCGGAAUCACUGGGCGUAAAGGGUGCGUAGGUGGCGUGGUAAGUCAGAUGUGAAAGCCCGGGGCUCAACCUCGGAACUGCAUCCGAUACUGCCAUGCUAGAGUACUGGAGAGGUGACUAGAAUUCUCGGUGUAGCAGUGAAAUGCGUAGAUAUCGAGAGGAAUACCAAAGGCGUAGGCAGGUCACUGGACAGUUACUGACACUGAGGCACGAAGGCCAGGGGAGCGAAUGGGAUUAGAAACCCCGGUAGUCC